rnacentral:rRNA from 1 species
GGGUUGUGAGGUUAAGCGACUAAGCGUACACGGUGGAUGCCCUGGCAGUCAGAGGCGAUGAAGGACGUGCUAAUCUGCGAUAAGCGUCGGUAAGGUGAUAUGAACCGUUAUAACCGGCGAUUUCCGAAUGGGGAAACCCAGUGUGAUUCGUCACACUAUCAUUAACUGAAUUCAUAGGUUAAUGAGGCGAACCGGGGGAACUGAAACAUCUAAGUACCCCGAGGAAAAGAAAUCAACCGAGAUUCCCCCAGUAGCGGCGAGCGAACGGGGAGCAGCCCAGAGCCUGAAUCAGUGUGUGUGUUAGUGGAAGCGUCUGGAAAGGCGCGCGAUACAGGGUGACAGCCCCGUACACAAAAAUGCACAUGCUGUGAGCUCGAUGAGUAGGGCGGGACACGUGGUAUCCUGUCUGAAUAUGGGGGGACCAUCCUCCAAGGCUAAAUACUCCUGACUGACCGAUAGUGAACCAGUACCGUGAGGGAAAGGCGAAAAGAACCCCGGCGAGGGGAGUGAAAAAGAACCUGAAACCGUGUACGUACAAGCAGUGGGAGCACGCUUAGGCGUGUGACUGCGUACCUUUUGUAUAAUGGGUCAGCGACUUAUAUUCUGUAGCAAGGUUAACCGAAUAGGGGAGCCGAAGGGAAACCGAGUCUUAACUGGGCGUUAAGUUGCAGGGUAUAGACCCGAAACCCGGUGAUCUAGCCAUGGGCAGGUUGAAGGUUGGGUAACACUAACUGGAGGACCGAACCGACUAAUGUUGAAAAAUUAGCGGAUGACUUGUGGCUGGGGGUGAAAGGCCAAUCAAACCGGGAGAUAGCUGGUUCUCCCCGAAAGCUAUUUAGGUAGCGCCUCGUGAAUUCAUCUCCGGGGGUAGAGCACUGUUUCGGCAAGGGGGUCAUCCCGACUUACCAACCCGAUGCAAACUGCGAAUACCGGAGAAUGUUAUCACGGGAGACACACGGCGGGUGCUAACGUCCGUCGUGAAGAGGGAAACAACCCAGACCGCCAGCUAAGGUCCCAAAGUCAUGGUUAAGUGGGAAACGAUGUGGGAAGGCCCAGACAGCCAGGAUGUUGGCUUAGAAGCAGCCAUCAUUUAAAGAAAGCGUAAUAGCUCACUGGUCGAGUCGGCCUGCGCGGAAGAUGUAACGGGGCUAAACCAUGCACCGAAGCUGCGGCAGCGACGCUGAUGCGUUGUUGGGUAGGGGAGCGUUCUGUAAGCCUGCGAAGGUGUGCUGUGAGGCAUGCUGGAGGUAUCAGAAGUGCGAAUGCUGACAUAAGUAACGAUAAAGCGGGUGAAAAGCCCGCUCGCCGGAAGACCAAGGGUUCCUGUCCAACGUUAAUCGGGGCAGGGUGAGUCGACCCCUAAGGCGAGGCCGAAAGGCGUAGUCGAUGGGAAACAGGUUAAUAUUCCUGUACUUGGUGUUACUGCGAAGGGGGGACGGAGAAGGCUAUGUUGGCCGGGCGACGGUUGUCCCGGUUUAAGCGUGUAGGCUGGUUUUCCAGGCAAAUCCGGAAAAUCAAGGCUGAGGCGUGAUGACGAGGCACUACGGUGCUGAAGCAACAAAUGCCCUGCUUCCAGGAAAAGCCUCUAAGCAUCAGGUAACAUCAAAUCGUACCCCAAACCGACACAGGUGGUCAGGUAGAGAAUACCAAGGCGCUUGAGAGAACUCGGGUGAAGGAACUAGGCAAAAUGGUGCCGUAACUUCGGGAGAAGGCACGCUGAUAUGUAGGUGAAGCGACUUGCUCGUGGAGCUGAAAUCAGUCGAAGAUACCAGCUGGCUGCAACUGUUUAUUAAAAACACAGCACUGUGCAAACACGAAAGUGGACGUAUACGGUGUGACGCCUGCCCGGUGCCGGAAGGUUAAUUGAUGGGGUUAGCGCAAGCGAAGCUCUUGAUCGAAGCCCCGGUAAACGGCGGCCGUAACUAUAACGGUCCUAAGGUAGCGAAAUUCCUUGUCGGGUAAGUUCCGACCUGCACGAAUGGCGUAAUGAUGGCCAGGCUGUCUCCACCCGAGACUCAGUGAAAUUGAACUCGCUGUGAAGAUGCAGUGUACCCGCGGCAAGACGGAAAGACCCCGUGAACCUUUACUAUAGCUUGACACUGAACAUUGAGCCUUGAUGUGUAGGAUAGGUGGGAGGCUUUGAAGUGUGGACGCCAGUCUGCAUGGAGCCGACCUUGAAAUACCACCCUUUAAUGUUUGAUGUUCUAACGUUGACCCGUGAUCCGGGUUGCGGACAGUGUCUGGUGGGUAGUUUGACUGGGGCGGUCUCCUCCUAAAGAGUAACGGAGGAGCACGAAGGUUGGCUAAUCCUGGUCGGACAUCAGGAGGUUAGUGCAAUGGCAUAAGCCAGCUUGACUGCGAGCGUGACGGCGCGAGCAGGUGCGAAAGCAGGUCAUAGUGAUCCGGUGGUUCUGAAUGGAAGGGCCAUCGCUCAACGGAUAAAAGGUACUCCGGGGAUAACAGGCUGAUACCGCCCAAGAGUUCAUAUCGACGGCGGUGUUUGGCACCUCGAUGUCGGCUCAUCACAUCCUGGGGCUGAAGUAGGUCCCAAGGGUAUGGCUGUUCGCCAUUUAAAGUGGUACGCGAGCUGGGUUUAGAACGUCGUGAGACAGUUCGGUCCCUAUCUGCCGUGGGCGCUGGAGAACUGAGGGGGGCUGCUCCUAGUACGAGAGGACCGGAGUGGACGCAUCACUGGUGUUCGGGUUGUCAUGCCAAUGGCACUGCCCGGUAGCUAAAUGCGGAAGAGAUAAGUGCUGAAAGCAUCUAAGCACGAAACUUGCCCCGAGAUGAGUUCUCCCUGACUCCUUGAGAGUCCUGAAGGAACGUUGAAGACGACGACGUUGAUAGGCCGGGUGUGUAAGCGCAGCGAUGCGUUGAGCUAACCGGUACUAAUGAACCGUGAGGCUUAACCUUACAACGCCGAAGGUGUUU